rnacentral:rRNA from 1 species
GAUGAACGCUGGCGGCGUGCCUAAUACAUGCAAGUCGAGCGAACGGACGAGAAGCUUGCUUCUCUGAUGUUAGCGGCGGACGGGUGAGUAACAUGUGGAUAACCUACUUAUAAGACUGGGAUAACUUCGGGAAACCGGAGCUAACACCGGAUGAUAUUUUGAACCGCAUGGUUCAAAAGUGAAAGACGGUCUUGCUGGAACUUAUAGAUGGAUCCGCGCUGCAUUAGCUGGUUGGUCAGGUAACGGCUUACCAAGGCAACGAUGCAUAGCCGACCUGAGAGAGUGAUCGGCCACACUGGAACUGAGCCACGGUCCAGACUCCUACGGGAGGCAGCAGUAGGGAAUCUUCCGCAAUGGGCGAAAGCCUGACGGAGCAACGCCGCGUGAGUGAUGAAGAUCUUCGGAUCGUAAAACUCUGUUAUUAGGGAAGAACAUAUGUGUAAGUAACUGUGCACAUCGUGACGGUACCUAAUCAGAAAGCCACGGCUAACUACGUG